rnacentral:rRNA from 1 species
CAGGUACAGCGGGAAGCCAUAUGGCGACAUAGAGCGGAACCCGAAAACCUGUCUCAGUUCGGAUUGGAGUCUGCAACCCGACUCCAUGAAGCUGGAUUCGCUAGUAAUCGCGCAUCAGCCACGGCGCGGUGAAUACGUUCCCGGGCCUUGUACACACCGCCCGUCAAGCCAUGGAAGCCGGGGGUGCCUGAAGUGCGCUGCCGCAAGGAGCGCCCUAGGGUAAAACCGGUGACUGGGGCUAAGUCGUAACAAGGUAGC